AUUAGCAUAAAAAAAGUAUGAUGGAAAACCUUUGAAGGCAGUCUGGAUAGCAGCUCUCAGGAAGAUGGUCAAAUAAAUCUUCAACCAAGUCUGAGGCUUUACCAAGAAAUUAAGAAGGUUCUUCUGUGAUAUGUUUUCAUGGUGUGGGAAUAAGACUUGGUGGUCUAAUACAACUAAUACAAAGGUUAGCAUCACAGCUUGUCUGUAAGGAUUGAAGCUGGGAGUGGGCAUUGGAGCUGACUUUUAUGGUAACUGUGGCUGCAAAAAAGGGCUAUGAGAUUUUACUGUAACAGUAGAGAAUGUCAUUCAGACUAUUAUUGUGUAUGUUUGAGAAAAUGUUUAUAAUUUUUACCAUAUAAAGAAAAAUAAUAUGUACAGGUUCUCCAUUUUCAACAAGAUUGGAAGUAGUUGGUUAAUAGGUCUUUGCAAUUUAAAAAAAAUCUAUUUUUUGUUCAUACUCAUAUCUAGGCAAAACACUUCCAGUAGUUUAAGAAUGGAGAAUCUAAAAAAAAAAAAGAAAAAGAAAAAAAAUGUUCAAUUAUUGAAAGGUUUUUGUUCAGCCUUUGGCUUUAGUCGAAAAAGAGAGAGACAUAAGGAUCCUACAUUCUGUUAUUUGCUUGGUCUGACAGCCUCCACAUAUGAGGGGGAAUAGGAGGGGUCCUGAUCCUGAAAUCCAGGGCUUAAAAACACGAAAUCUUGAG